AGGGUGACAGCCCCGUACACAAAAAUGCACAUGCUGUGAGCUCGAUGAGUAGGGCGGGACACGUGGUAUCCUGUCUGAAUAUGGGGGGACCAUCCUCCAAGGCUAAAUACUCCUGACUGACCGAUAGUGAACCAGUACCGUGAGGGAAAGGCGAAAAGAACCCCGGCGAGGGGAGUGAAAAAGAACCUGAAACCGUGUACGUACAAGCAGUGGGAGCACGCUUAGGCGUGUGACUGCGUACCUUUUGUAUAAUGGGUCAGCGACUUAUAUUCUGUAGCAAGGUUAACCGAAUAGGGGAGCCGAAGGGAAACCGAGUCUUAACUGGGCGUUAAGUUGCAGGGUAUAGACCCGAAACCCGGUGAUCUAGCCAUGGGCAGGUUGAAGGUUGGGUAACACUAACUGGAGGACCGAACCGACUAAUGUUGAAAAAUUAGCGGAUGACUUGUGGCUGGGGGUGAAAGGCCAAUCAAACCGGGAGAUAGCUGGUUCUCCCCGAAAGCUAUUUAGGUAGCGCCUCGUGAAUUCAUCUCCGGGGGUAGAGCACUGUUUCGGCAAGGGGGUCAUCCCGACUUACCAACCCGAUGCAAACUGCGAAUACCGGAGAAUGUUAUCACGGGAGACACACGGCGGGUGCUAACGUCCGUCGUGAAGAGGGAAACAACCCAGACCGCCAGCUAAGGUCCCAAAGUCAUGGUUAAGUGGGAAACGAUGUGGGAAGGCCCAGACAGCCAGGAUGUUGGCUUAGAAGCAGCCAUCAUUUAAAGAAAGCGUAAUAGCUCACUGGUCGAGUCGGCCUGCGCGGAAGAUGUAACGGGGCUAAACCAUGCACCGAAGCUGCGGCAGCGACGCUGAUGCGUUGUUGGGUAGGGGAGCGUUCUGUAAGCCUGCGAAGGUGUGCUGUGAGGCAUGCUGGAGGUAUCAGAAGUGCGAAUGCUGACAUAAGUAACGAUAAAGCGGGUGAAAAGCCCGCUCGCCGGAAGACCAAGGGUUCCUGUCCAACGUUAAUCGGGGCAGGGUGAGUCGACCCCUAAGGCGAGGCCGAAAGGCGUAGUCGAUGGGAAACAGGUUAAUAUUCCUGUACUUGGUGUUACUGCGAAGGGGGGACGGAGAAGGCUAUGUUGGCCGGGCGACGGUUGUCCCGGUUUAAGCGUGUAGGCUGGUUUUCCAGGCAAAUCCGGAAAAUCAAGGCUGAGGCGUGAUGACGAGGCACUACGGUGCUGAAGCAACAAAUGCCCUGCUUCCAGGAAAAGCCUCUAAGCAUCAGGUAACAUCAAAUCGUACCCCAAACCGACACAGGUGGUCAGGUAGAGAAUACCAAGGCGCUUGAGAGAACUCGGGUGAAGGAACUAGGCAAAAUGGUGCCGUAACUUCGGGAGAAGGCACGCUGAUAUGUAGGUGAAGCGACUUGCUCGUGGAGCUGAAAUCAGUCGAAGAUACCAGCUGGCUGCAACUGUUUAUUAAAAACACAGCACUGUGCAAACACGAAAGUGGACGUAUACGGUGUGACGCCUGCCCGGUGCCGGAAGGUUAAUUGAUGGGGUUAGCGCAAGCGAAGCUCUUGAUCGAAGCCCCGGUAAACGGCGGCCGUAACUAUAACGGUCCUAAGGUAGCGAAAUUCCUUGUCGGGUAAGUUCCGACCUGCACGAAUGGCGUAAUGAUGGCCAGGCUGUCUCCACCCGAGACUCAGUGAAAUUGAACUCGCUGUGAAGAUGCAGUGUACCCGCGGCAAGACGGAAAGACCCCGUGAACCUUUACUAUAGCUUGACACUGAACAUUGAGCCUUGAUGUGUAGGAUAGGUGGGAGGCUUUGAAGUGUGGACGCCAGUCUGCAUGGAGCCGACCUUGAAAUACCACCCUUUAAUGUUUGAUGUUCUAACGUUGACCCGU
rnacentral:rRNA from 1 species